CUUAAAACAGUUUUGUAUCCAAAUAAUCCAGUUUUACCUUCAUAAUGUAAAAUAUUGUAUAUUUAACAAAGAGACAACUCUCCAUCAAAGACCAAAUGAUGUAGAUAUAAAUGAUAAGCAACUGUAUGUCACCUUACUGCUUUCUAUAAUGAGCAUAACCCAUAUUUCACAGCAAGCUAUAAAAGGCUCUAAAAUGACAUGUGAUGCAUUUCAAACAAGAACACUAAUGGCCUGAUUUGUGUACAAGACAAUAAGCG
rnacentral:lncRNA from 1 species